ensembl:lncRNA
UAGUGGUGCCAGGAGACAGCCUGAGGUACCAGUUGAGUGGUUUGUCUGGACUGUACAGGAUCCACAUGGUGGCUCACACUGAUACAGGAGGGAGUCCUCCUGGUCCAAUGCUUGAUGUGGCUGUAGGGGGGGUUGUUUUAGUGGACACCAUCCUGUGGUGUUGCAUUCCUACAGUGCUCACUGUCAUGAUACUGCUGAACUGCCUACAGUGGAGACAGAGGAUAAAGCAGAAUCUCUGGCCUACAGUCCCUGACCCUGCACAUAGUAGCCUGUCCACCUGGAACACGGAGACUAAAUACACCACAGUCGUUUUCACUGGGGGGGGAAUCUCAGAGGAGAGAACACCAUUUCAAAUAAAGCCCCAGUGUCCCCACUCCCCCAGCAGGGGGCAGAAAACUAUUGAUGUUGAUUGUAUGUGGUAAUAUAAUUUCUUAUGACGUCUGAACCCUGUUCUUUGUUUUUCUGUUAUAUGUUCUGAAUUUGUUAAUGUUAUAACACACUGUGAGGUUUUCAUUGGCAUCUGUACAGUACUUUGAAUAUUGUUUUUAUCCAAUCAAGUUUCAUUGUGACCUGGCAAGUCAAAAUAAGGCCACUUGCAAAGUAAUUCAAGUAAUAUAUGUUUCAUCUGUUCUAUAUAUAUCCUUUAUAUGCUGUAACAUCGUAUCAUCUACUGAUGCUACUGAUGCAUGUCUACGUAUUUACUGCAGUUUCUUUUAAGAGCUGCUGUGUUAUAAGAGAGGCUAUAAGUCUGUCAAACCAGGCUAGAACAUCUAGCCCCAGGUCUAGUGCUGAUGAAGAAACAAAAAGUUAUCCCAGUUCCUCUGAGUCCUACUGUUGCUUGGUGAUGUUAAUUCUACAGUCCCAGCAGGACUUAUAAAACUCCCUUUGCUUUUGUAACUCAUAGAGUUUUAAUCUUUCCACAUACUGAGUCCAGUACGCCCACACACACUUUUUUAGAGCUUUGAAUAAUGCCCACAACUUAUGGCACAUUUAAACCCUAUUUUAUUUUUACUACCCAGUGUCAACCGGUCAACCCCAGUCAUGUGUGAGUCAGCAUCCCUGGUGUUUUUUGCUCUUUCAACAGCGGGUACAGAAGGGGUUGACAGUUUGGGAGGAUAGCAUGUUGUUAAAUACUGCAUACUGAAUUAAGGGUCCGGCUCUGCAUGGUAAACUAUGCAAAUGAUUUUCAAGAAUGCAGUAUUGGCUCCGGACAAGAAAACGCUGCAUGCGAUGCCUGCUGAGGUCUGUAGCCUACUGGCUCGAGUGGAUGGAGUUUGGUUGUCAUGGAUGUCAUGUCAUGUUGUAGCGACCUUAACUUAACACCUAAUGAGCUAGUCAAGAGUAUACGACCUCAUGGUGUCACAGUUAAGGUGUUGGCUACACAGUUACUGGACCCAUGUUCGAGUCCUGAUUGGGGCUACCCCUGAAUUUGUAACGAUAAUGUUAUUAGAAUGUUUAGAAUUAUAUUUAGUAAAUAAUUACUUGCCUUGAAUUCUGUGACUGAUCACUUUAGACUAAUCAUAUAACAUAUAAAAUAUAUAAAAAUAUCUUUAUUAUCAAUAUGUCACCAUUAAUGUAGAGUGCCAUGGAUUUCCCCCCAAAAUCCCAGUAGACACUGAUCUAUGGAAAUGCCCUAAAAUAUCCCCAUAAGUUUUAUGGCACAUGUAACACAGGCAACUCCCCAAUAGUCAGCUGCUAUCCACUGUGUGCACUGUAGAGUACUCUGAGAAACUAACUGCUUUACCACCAGCAAGACUGACAGGGGCUGGUGCAGAGCGCAAGGAUGAUUUCUGCUCUGCUUUCCUUUAUUGUUGCUGUCAGUAGCUACAGUAGGUUUCCAUCCAAUUGGGAGUAUUCAAAAAUCCGCAUAACAACAAUAUGUGCAUUUUCCCACAAGAGAUGUUUCCAUCAUUUCCAUUGACUUGUGUGAAUAAAAGGCUGUGCAUGAUGACGUAGUGCACAAAAAUAAAUUUUUGCUGUUAAAUUCCCAUAUACCAAAUAAAAAAUAUAAGUUAAAGGAAAAUUCCACCCCAAAACUUUCAAAAUACAGAAUACAGCCGUUAUGAUCAUAUGAUUCAAAAUGCAUCAUAGAGGCUGUAUUUCUGUAUUUUGAAAGUUACAUAUCUUGAAAACUUAAUUGCUGAGAUACAAAACAUUUUGAGACAAUAUCAACAAUGGAAAAAUGAAAUUAAUAUUACGAGAGUUUUUGUGUAGAGUUUUCCUUUAACCUCUACGGGUUCGGUGUCCCCCCCCCCCACCCACCCACGGGAUGGUUGAGUAAACGUGCUCUUAUGUGAUUAGCAUGACGUAAAUAACAAGAACAUUUCCCAGGACAUAGACAUGUCUUAUAUAGGCAGAAAGCUUCAAUUAUUGUUAAUCUAACUGCACUUUCCAAUUUACAGUAGCUAUUACAGUGAAAAAAAUACCUUGCUAUUGUUUGAGGAGAAUGCACAACAACAAAAAACUUUCAUCACGGCAACUGGUUUGACCACUGAAGGUAAAUAAAAUACUUACGUUUUUGUAAUUUUUGUAAUCUUGCUCUGAUUUGUCAUCCUGAUGGUCCCAGAGAUAAAAUGUAGAAUAGUCUUGUUUGAUCAAAUCUAUUUUUAUAUUCAAAUGUAGGAACUGGGUUCUACAGUUUGAAUCCCUGCUGUGUCUGGCCCCCCUCACCCCAUCUAGAUGUGUGAAGGUUGGUGUCUUUUCUGUAGGGAAGCUAAUUAUCCAUAAUUUAUGACAUUCCUGGGAGUGUGUAAACUUAAAUGUUGUAUUAUCAUAUCAUUUUUGUAUGUUCUCUAUUAUGUUGUGUACUUGAAAAAGUAUAAAUUGACGAAUUUGGCACAUUAUACAACAUUUUGAAUCGUAAUGCAAUGGUUCAUUGGAUCAAUCUAAAACUUUGUACACACACUGCUGCCAUCUAGUGGCCAAAAUCAAAAUUGCGCCUAGAGUCCUACGUGUAAUAAUGUAUUUUCUCUUGCAUUUCAAAGAUGAUGAAAAAAAUAAAAAUUUGAAAACGCAUGUUUUUUUCUUU